rnacentral:tRNA from 1 species
CGGAGUGUAACUCAGUCUGGUUAGAGUGCGUCGUUUCAAGUCCUUUCGAAGAGAGGUUUUGAAGGGACGACGAAGUCGGGGGUUCGAAUCCCUCCUCUCCGACCA